UAGUAGUACGUGUUGUUAUCAAACGUUUUCAAUUUAUUUUCAACUCUAACCGUAGCGCAAUUGUGGUUAAUUAACUUCUGGAUUUGGAUUGGAUAUGCACAUGGACUCUGGUCAUACGGAUUUCUAUUUAUGACAUAUUGAUUGUGCGUACUGACGUGGAAACUUACCGAAAUCUAACAACACACACAUACAUGUUGCAAUCAGAAAGGCGACCCCUUUACCCCCAAAAAACGAACAAUCAAUGCAUCCAAUCGAACAAUUUUACCGCAUCCAUUAUGCCAGUUUCCUUCUUGUAUUCGGAUUUGUGAGCUUUUUCGCAAUGCGGAACGAUAAAUCGGCAGCGCGUGGGCGCAAAUGGCGAACCUCUGAAGCUUACUUACAUCUCCUGGAAUUUCUCGGAGGCUGGGUUGGAAGUCUUUGUGCUCAAGUAUUGUUUUGUCACAAGAUCAGGAAAGCAAGCUACCAGUUGGUGUACUGGUUCAUUGUUAUGUUUCAUGUUGUGUUCAUGACGAAAGAGCUGUUUAAUUGUGUCGAUACGGUCGUGAAAUUAUUUACAUAGUAAUUGCUCUGUGAUACAAUUAUCCAUUUGCAAAUCGGUUUAACAUUCCAUAAUAAAUCUUUCCUAUCUGUGAUUAA